AUGAGAGCUUGCUCUUGAUGACGAGUGGCGAACGGGUGCGUAACACGUAUACAAUCUACCUUUAACUGAGGGAUAGCCCAGAGAAAUUUGGAUUAAUACCUCAUAGUAUUAUUUUAAGGCAUCUUAAUAUAAUUAAAACUCCGGUGGUUAAAGAUGAGUAUGCGUUCUAUUAGUUUGUUGGUGAGGUAACGGCUCACCAAGACCACGAUAGAUAGGGGGCCUGAGAGGGUGAUCCCCCACACUGGUACUGAGACACGGACCAGACUCCUACGGGAGGCAGCAGUGAGGAAUAUUGCGCAAUGGAGGAAACUCUGACGCAGCCAUACCGCGUGUAGGAAGAAUGUCCUAUGGAUUGUAAACUACUUUUAUACAAGAAGAAACCCCAGUACGUGUACUGGGCUGACGGUAUUGUACGAAUAAGCACCGGCUAACUCCGUGCCA
rnacentral:rRNA from 1 species